AAAAAAUGACCACCCAUUUCAAAAACAGUCAUCCUCAUGAAGAAGCAACAAUGGCCUCCUCAAUACAAUAUUUAGAAGAAAAGUGUAUCCCAAUUUCCUCAAGGCCCUAAGUCAACAAUGAUGAUGGAUACUUACCCAUUCUAAGAAAUCCCAUGGUUUUUUUCUUUAUUUAAUACAAACCUUUUGUCUCUUUCCUAAAAAUCUUUGGUAUAAUUACAUGUUUGUUUUAUUGUUUUUAAGUUUGC
rnacentral:lncRNA from 1 species